CGACUUGUGAAAGUAGGAGUGUCAAACCGUGUCGUGGGAGGAUACACACAUAUAGACUGAGUGUUUCCAGUGGAUCGUUUCAUCACACACUGAACUGCUGGAGAAAAUGUUUCAUGUGUUUGUUUUAUUCUGUUUGUGUUGCUGGAGUCUGACUGGUGUGUUUGGUGAUUCAGUGUCAGUGAUGGAGGGAGAUUCUGUUACUCUAAAUACUAAUAUUACUGAAAUAUCUGAAGAUGAUGACAUACUGUGGAAAUAUGGAGCUGAAAACUCUCAGAUAGCUAAAAUCAGCAUUAAGAAACAAUACUUCACCACAUCUGAUAAUGUUACUGAUGGGAGAUUCAGAGACAGACUGAAGCUGGACAAUCAAACUGGAUCUCUGACCAUCACACACACCACAACUGAACACACUGGAGUUUAUACACUACAGAUAUUUGGAAGA